GACGAACGCUGGCGGCGUGCUUAACACAUGCAAGUCGAACGGAAAGGCCCUUCGGGGUACUCGAGUGGCGAACGGGUGAGUAACACGUGGGUGAUCUGCCCUGCACUUUGGGAUAAGCCUGGGAAACUGGGUCUAAUACCGAGUAGGACCACGCGCUUCAUGGUGUGUGGUGGAAAGCUUUUGCGGUGUGGGAUGGGCCCGCGGCCUAUCAGCUUGUUGGUGGGGUAAUGGCCUACCAAGGCGACGACGGGUAGCCGGCCUGAGAGGGUGACCGGCCACACUGGGACUGAGAUACGGCCCAGACUCCUACGGGAGGCAGCAGUGGGGAAUAUUGCACAAUGGGCGCAAGCCUGAUGCAGCGACGCCGCGUGAGGGAUGACGGCCUUCGGGUUGUAAACCUCUUUCACCAGGGACGAAGCGUAAGUGACGGUACCUGGAGAAGAAGCACCGGCCAACUACGUG
rnacentral:rRNA from 1 species